CUACGGGUCGCUCCAGUGAGGAAUAUUGGUCAAUGGGCGCAAGCCUGAACCAGCCAUGCCGCGUGGAGGAUGAAGGCCCUCUGGGUUGUAAACUUCUUUUAUUUGGGAAGAAAAGCACGGUUUCUACUGUGUCCGACGGUACCAGAUGAAUAAGCACCGGCUAACUCCGUGCCAGCAGCCGCGGUAAUACGGAGGGUGCAAGCGUUAUCCGGAUUUACUGGGUUUAAAGGGUGUGUAGGCGGAUAUUUAAGUCAGAGGUGAAAUCUCCAGGCUCAACCUGGAAACUGCCUUUGAUACUAUUUAUCUUGAAUUUCGUUGAGGUUGGCGGAAUAUAUCAUGUAGCGGUGAAAUGCAUAGAUAUGAUAUAGAACACCGAUUGCGUAGGCAGCUGGCUGAACGACGAUUGACGCUGAGGCACGAAAGCGUGGGUAGCGAACAGGAUUAGAUACCCCGGUAGUC
rnacentral:rRNA from 1 species